GGGUUGAUAGCUCAAUUGGCAGAGCAAGGGCCUUUUAAGCCCGAGGUUGAGGGUUCAAAUCCCUCUCGACCCACCA
rnacentral:tRNA from 1 species